UGGUCUAGUGGUUAGGAUUCGGCGCU
rnacentral:piRNA from 8 species